AUUUAGCUGACGAGUCACAAAUAGGACGAAACGCACGUUCUGGAU
rfam:Schistosoma haematobium scaffold502_21, whole genome shotgun sequence.